rnacentral:rRNA from 1 species
UACGAAGGGGGCUAGCGUUGCUCGGAAUCACUGGGCGUAAAGCGCACGUAGGCGGCUUUUUAAGUCAGGGGUGAAAUCCUGGAGCUCAACUCCAGAACUGCCUUUGAUACUGAGAAGCUUGAGUCCGGGAGAGGUGAGUGGAACUGCGAGUGUAGAGGUGAAAUUCGUAGAUAUCGAGAGGAACACCUGAGGUGAAGACGGGUUGCUGGGCCGACACUGACGCUGAGUGCGCGAAAGCCAGGGGAGCAAACGGG